AACCAUAGAAACCUGCGGAGUACCUGCGGAAGGAUCAUUACCGAGUGCGGGUCCCCUCGCGGGGCCCAACCUCCCACCCGUGUCUACCGUCACCUGUUGCUUCGGCGGGCCCGCCUUCGUGCCGCCGGGGGGCCCUCUGCGCCCCCGGGCCCGCGCCCGCCGAAGACUCUAGGAACACUGAAUGAAGGAUGCCGUCUGAGCCAAACGACACAAUCGUUAAAACUUUCAACAACGGAUCUC
rnacentral:misc_RNA from 1 species